GACGAACCGUGCAAACGUUAUUCGGAAUCACUGGGCUUAAAGCGCGUGUAGGCGGGCCGGCACGUCGGUCGCUGAAAUCCCCCGGCUCAACCGGGGAAGCGGCGCCGAUACGACCGGCCUGGAGGGGCGUAGGGGGACCUGGAACUUCCGGUGGAGCGGUGAAAUGCGUUGAGAUCGGAAGGAAGCGCCCGUGGCGAAAGCGAGGUCCUGGACGCCAUCUGACGCUGAGACGCGAAAAGCCAGGGGGAGCGAACGGG
rnacentral:rRNA from 1 species